rnacentral:rRNA from 1 species
GAUGAACGCUAGCGGGAGGCCUAACACAUGCAAGCCGAGCGGUAGAGUUUCUUCGGAAACUUGAGAGCGGCGCACGGGUGCGUAACACGUGUGCAACCUACCUUUAUCUGGGGGAUAGCCUUUCGAAAGGAAGAUUAAUACCCCAUAAUAUAAUGAUUGGCAUCAAUUAUUAUUGAAAACUCCGGUGGAUAGAGAUGGGCACGCGCAAGAUUAGAUAGUUGGUGAGGUAACGGCUCACCAAGUCAAUGAUCUUUAGGGGUCCUGAGAGGGAGAUCCCCCACACUGGUACUGAGACACGGACCACACUCCUACGGGAGGCAGCAGUGAGGAAGAUUGGAGAAUGGGUGAGAGCCUGAUCCAGCCAACCCGCGUGAAGGAUGACGGUCCUAGGGAUGGUAAACUUCUUUUGUACAGGGAUAAACCUACCCUCGUGAGGGUAGCUGAAGGUACUGUACGAAUAAGCACCGGCUAACUCCGUG